rnacentral:rRNA from 1 species
CAAUAGCGUAUAUUUAAGUUGUUGCAGUUAAAAAGCUCGUAGUCGGAUUUUGGCUGAAAACGAUCGGUCCGCCGUUAGGUGUGCACUGAUUGGUCUCAGCUUCCUGGUGAGGAGGUGUGCUUCGCGGCCACUUAGUCACCGUGGUUACUUUGAAAAAAUUAGAGUGUUCAAAGCGGGCUUACGCUUGAAUAUAUUAGCAUGGAAUAACACCAUAGGACUCCUGUCCUAUUUCGUUGGUCUCGGGACGGGAGUAAUGAUUAAGAGGAACAGUUGGGGGCAUUCGUAUUUCAUUGUCAGAGGUGAAAUUCUUGGAUUUAUGAAAGACGAACUUCUGCGAAAGCAUUUGCCAAGGAUGUUUUCAUUAA